rnacentral:tRNA from 1 species
GCUGGGGCUGAGUGGUAAAGUGUUUGCCUAGCAUACAUGAGGCCUUGGGUUUGAUCUCCAGCACCGCA